UACAAGACUUUCGCCCAACUUUUUACCAAAUAUACAUUAUAGUGAUUAUACAUAUUCGUUGGGAAACAAUUAAUUCACCUGAAACAUUUAAUGAAACGUGCAUAAGUUGUUACGGAUUCAUGAUUAAGGACAACGCGGUCUUUGUCAAUCGACAGUUUCAGUAAGAGAGACCGAGUGCCGAGGUGCCGACCCUGACACAGUUUCAGAAAUAGAGCGGCUGCCUCAAUCUCAAAGCGCUAAAAUGUCAUUUCAAACGAUACUCUCGUAUAAGUGAAAAACAAUUAAUAGUAAGUACCCUACAAUACUCCGAAAUCCCUAGUGUAACUAUUAAAUACAAACAUCUGCCACUGUAAUGUUAAAUUUCAGGCAGAUCUUAUGAAAACCAAGAUCAGAAGCCGACUGUAAACCAACACAUUGACUGUAGCACCUCUUGACUCAGAAUGUAUUAAAGAGGGUCCAGAAAACAAUGGCACACGCGUAACUUUUCAACCAGCACAUGAAAUGAUCCAGAAAAUGACUUCGGCUACUCUGUACAAAACGAAAAACGAAGAAGACGAAGGGGACUUCGAAUUCAAGUCACAGUAAGCUGUUCUCGCCCGUCAUCGGGGACCGCUCACAUGCGUGCGGGACACCGUCUUCCGGUUGUGUGCUGUGACUGGGCACUCGACUGCGGCGAGCUAAGUGACCAGCUGGGGCGUGACGUCAUGAGGACCUACAGCUGCACUCCAAUCACAUCUCGGUAUCUCCAGGAUUCUUCCACGUAUACAACUUGAUACAAGCCGCCAUUUGAAGGGAAACAGUGCGCAAACAUGGUUCGUUCAUGUGAUGGUUUUAAUUGUAAGAGUAAGAACGGAAGCAAAGACAAAGACGGAAACAAUAUUACAUUUCACAGGAUUCCCCGUACAAAUGAUUUUAUAAAUCGGAAAUGAAUAGCUGCUACUCGGAGAGAGAACUUCCAACCGACAGGAAAUCAUUUGCUGUGAUCUCUUCAUUUUGAAGUGAAUUGUUACAUGGAAAAUUAUAUAAAUAGACGUCAACUGAAGGUCGAUGCUAUACCGACAGUAUUUGGAUUUUCAACUCAUUUGAAAAAGGUUAACAAGGCAAGGAAACAGCCAAAACCAAGAAAUGUUGAGACAGCAGAAAAUGAGUGCAUGGAUGAACAUGUUUCUGGUUAUACUGGAGACCAUAAUUAUUCAUUUCCAUCAAGUCCAAGUAAGCUGAAGGAAAAAGUUCGAAAAAAUUGAAGAAAGGAAAAAUUGGGCUAUGAGGGCUGUAUAUAUUACGCCAACAGAUUCAAUCAUUUUUUAUAAUCAUGUAGCAACGUAGGUUGCAAUGUAUUUCAAACACAUUUUAACAAAAGAAUAUAGUGGCAAAUAGCUUACUAUCAAA